rnacentral:rRNA from 3 species
ACCACGGUGUGGUUCAUGACUGGGGUGAAGUCGUAACAAGGUAGCCCUAGGGGAACCUGGGGCUGGAUCACCUCCUUACCUAAAGA